CCUACGGGAGGCAGCAGUGAGGAAUAUUGGUCAAUGGUCGCAAGACUGAACCAGCCAUGCCGCGUGCAGGAAGACGGCCCUAUGGGUUGUAAACUGCUUUUAUAUAGGAAGAAACCUUUUUACGUGUAGAAAGCUGACGGUACUAUAUGAAUAAGCACCGGCUAACUCCGUGCCAGCAGCCGCGGUAAUACGGAGGGUGCAAGCGUUAUCCGGAUUUAUUGGGUUUAAAGGGUCCGUAGGCGGACUUAUAAGUCAGUGGUGAAAUCCUGCAGCUCAACUGUAGAACUGCCAUUGAUACUGUAAGUCUUGAAUUCGGUUGAAGUGGGCGGAAUAUGGCAUGUAGCGGUGAAAUGCUUAGAUAUGCCAUAGAACACCGAUUGCGUAGGCAGCUCACUAAGCCUGGAUUGACGCUGAGGGACGAAAGCGUGGGUAGCGAACAGGAUUAGAUACCCUGGUAGUCCACGCCGUAAACGAUGAUUACUCGACAUUAGCGAUAUACGGUUAGUGUNAUAGAGAAGANAUAAGUAAUACACCUCGGGAGGUACGAGUCGCGAGAGUAGUAAACGUACAAAUAGAGUUAGUACGGACGUGAGACGUUGCCGACGGACGACCGACGACGGGGAGGGUAGGGNG
rnacentral:rRNA from 1 species